CCCUUAGAUGUCCUGGGCCGCACGCGCGUUACACUGAUGCAUUCAACGAGCUUAUAACCUUGGCCGAGAGGCCUGGGCAAUCUUGUUAACGUGCAUCGUGAUAGGGAUAGAUUAUUGAAAUUAUUAAUCUUGAACGAGGAAUUCCUAGUAAACGCAGAUCAUCAAUCUGCAUUGAUUACGUCCCUGCCCUUUGUACACACCGCCCGUCGCACCUACCGAUUGGAUGGUCCGGUGAAGCCUCGGGAUUGUGGUUCUUGCCGCUUUAUUGUAGCGUGACCGCGAGAACUUGUCUAAACCCUAUCAUCUAGAGGAAGGUGAAGUCGUAACA
rnacentral:rRNA from 1 species